AAAUUUAGGUUAAUCCAAACCAAGGACCUUCAAAGCCCUAAACAAGAGUACCCACCCUCCU
rnacentral:tRNA from 1 species